UUGAUACUUUGUAUUACCCCAAUUUCAGCUUUCAAUAAUAAAUUUAAUUUUUGUCAGUUACUAAAUUAUAUUUCAGAGAUAAGGAUAGCCUAGCCUAACAGUUAUACUUAAAUACUUAAUUUAAACAUCACUGCUGGAAGUAUGUUUUUAAGAGCAUAUGCUGUCAAGUAACAGAUCUGUAUCACCAGUAGUCAAUUAAUGAAUUGCCAAAUUCCUUUUGAAGAAGAAACAGUUUCUACCAAUAUAGUUUAGCUGUAAUUUUAAGGAACAGUCAUCUAAUAGUUUUUUCAAGGAUGGGAAUAUGUGUAUCACCAUUGGUCAGACUUAGGGCACUUAGGGGAGAGUUUGGGUGAAUUUCUUCUAAAAAAAGGCUUGUACUGUUUUUCAUAUUCUUAUGCUAGAAAUUGCCAGAAAACUGGCCUCUGACGUUAAAGCACAUGUGUCGUGAACAUGAUUGGCUAAUGCAAUACAAUUAUCUUUUUCGGUUUGGUAGAAAGCAUGAAAUCGAGGGUGAAUUUUUGCUGAAGAAGAAGUGAAAAAUCACGAAACAAUGAAAUUCGACUCCAAACGCUUUUGUUUCAUUAGCCAAUUGUUAAUCCGACAUAUGCCUUUUAAAUUCGAAAGCCAAGAGUAAAUUAUAAGAAAAUGUCAACCGACUACAAUUUAGCAGAAUGAUGUAAACAUUUCCAAAUGGCCGUGUGUGCCUACUAUGAUAAAAAGCGUAUGAAACUUAUUCAAGUGACCCCACGUAUAGAGACUUCAUCUAUAAGGCAACAAGCUGAAACAUCUUCUAAGUCCUAAGACGCUUCUACCUCGACUAUUACAUAAACCAGACAAGUCCACGCCAGACUAUUGUGUUUUGGCAAACAAAGUAAUGAAACAACUGUUAUAUCUACAGUGUUAUUUCGAACAAGAAUACGAAUGCAAGACAUAAUAAUAUGAAAUCAUUGAAAUGGAUUCUUAGUUUUUAACGCUGUUGAGUAGAACAAAUAGCGAUUAGUGAAUCAGAUUACUGAGUAGUCGAUAGAAUUUUAAAAUUCAAUCCUUUGAGGAGACAUCGUAUACAGAACCGUCAUACAUUAGAACGAUUCUUGAAUGUGUUCCUCUGUUUUACAGCGCUGACAUCAACUUCUAUUAACCGGUCUCGUGUUUCUGCUCAAAUAACACAGCAAAGUAGCAGGGCAUUACAAUCGCUUCAUGCUGAGUAUGUGUACUUCAUUAUAAGAGCUUCGGCAGUGACGUAGCUGUUAUUUUAGGUCGUAUAUAUAAAAGUGGCUGUCUUGCUACCACACUAAAGUGCGCGCUGUCUGAUUAUGCCGUCUGAAAAUACUCUCCCUUUCCUAGAUAGUGUCGGGAAAAACUUUGGUUUUUGAUAUUCAUAGAAAGAAACUAUUAACUUCAAAAGUUGGAGAAAUGUAGAAUGAUUUUUCAUAGUGAAAAAUAUUGAAAAAUUCAUCAGAUGAAAAGUGUAUUCAUCUACUUUUGGCAGGUCUAUCCAUCGAGGUACGUUUGAUUUGCGUUACAAAGGACAUAGUUCUCGGCCAGUACCCGCCUGUUGUUCGUGCUUACCAGUUCUGCACGUGUAUUUACAGUGUCCUCUAACAGGUGGCUACAUGCUCUAAUGAUCUGGAGAUUGUCGUCGUGGAAACAUUGCCGUUGAGCCUAAUUACGUAUACAGUAAUUAUAGAGAUUUUUACGUCUGUUUUUUGUUAACUCUGACUGUUGUGUCGUAGCCAACACUUUUUGUAUACAUUGUGUAUCAAACGAUUGUUAAAAAUAUUGGCGUCUCUAAGUGGAACAAGAUGAGUUGAAAAUGUGCUUCAAACUUUAGAAGCUUAAAGGACUAUUGUGGAUCAGAGUGUGACGGAUUAAACCCGAAAUGGCUCCUUUCCGAUGAGAAGCAGAUUUUCGCCAAAGUAACAAAAGUAUAAGAUUAUAGCGGAUGUGUAAUCUCACAGUUUCCAAACGCAUUUUGCGUGUCUAGAUGUCAACUGGCUUGCUCUUGAGGCUAAAUUUGGUUUAAAAUUGAAGCAGUAGCUUCAUAUUUUGGCAAGUUUUUCAAGAAAUAGAGAGAUCAACAUGUUUUCGAAAGUAUACGUUUUAUUCUUACUUGUUGUUUAUAUUUUUCAUGGAGGUAGCUGCGACUCUGUGCCGGAAGAUCUUCUUACUGAUAAUCAAGAGCAAUUAGAGCACUGGAAACAAGGAAAUCUUAUUGACAGUAUUCUCAAUCAACUUCCAUUCUUGGGUGGAUCAAACGAAAACGAGCAAGCUGCUUAUGAUUCGAAAAAUUCACAAACUAGAGAAUCUGUGGACAAAAAGGCUAGCCAAAUAGCUAGUCCAACAGUGCCAAUCAAGUCAAUUGUCCCAAGUCCAUCGAGUUUUGGUUCUGUCAGUACAGAGAAGAUGAGCAUUUCUCGCUCAUCAAAUGAAAGUAUGUCGAAGUCAGUAAUCAGAAACAGUACUGAACUUUUAGGUACACCAGCCUUAAAACCAACGAAAGUCCUAAACAGCACAAGUAUCGUGUUCUCAAAGAACGUUUCUAGCUCGCGACACUUGAACACUACAAACACGACAGUAAACAGCACGACCAACGUGUCAUUGGUAACGAGAGUAAAUGAACAUGCCUCUCUGUUCUCUCAUUUCGUUUCUACAUUGAACUUAUCAACAACUCCGUUGUUUAUUUCAUCAUCGCCCGCAGCGCAUAGCAGCCUUAUGAUAUCAGAUACAGCACAAAAGACUAUAUCAUCAUUUAGUACGAGUUUUGGCAACACAAAGAACACGGUUUCACGUGUCGCGGGGACGAACACAAACCCAUCAAAGUCAAAGUCAGAUACGUAUGCAUCCACUGUUUACCCAUCAAGCCCUACUGUGGGUAUGCCUGUUCUUCCAGAUGAAAAGGAUAUGGAGGUUAUGUACCUGAGGCAAUAAAGAACGAAAAGGGCAUUGGGUUCGUAUACGUGAAUGUGUUGUUACCGAUAGCAUCUGGUGUUGUCGGAGCUUUGCUUAUCUCUAUUGCAAUUUUGCUGUUUCGCUGCUGCAGAAGAAGAAAGCUAAAGAAGGUUCGAUAUUUCGGUAGAAAGCAACAAAGAGAUUUUGUGCAGCUGGACAGAAUGAAUCUUCUGACAGACACAAGUGAUGAAGAAGACUUUGAUUGAAGCUACUGUAGCCCCUAGUUGUUACAGAGACUAAUCCACAGAUUUGGCUGUAUACAGAAACACUUGCAAAUUAAACACACUAUCGACAUACAGCUGUCAGGCAUAUUAAAGGAUAUUUGAUGAGGAUGUAAUUAUGGCUUUGUACUAACAGAAUACAAACUGCUUGACAGAGCCUGGAUAGUUAGUAAUAAAGCAUACAUCAGAGUAUUUUAGGCUAUUUAUCAUAAAAACUGUAGAUUAAAUUUGUCUUUGUAAGUUAAACUGAUUAAGAAAUCUUUAAAAAUUUAAGGUGUUGUUCCUAAUGUUAGCGGCAAAACAGAAAUACAAAAAACCUCCUGAUUGUUAAUAUAACUCAAUUUAUCUUCAUUAAAAGUCACAAAAAAGUAUUCCUCAGUAGUCAGGAUGACAUCAACCUUUUAAGAAACACAAAAUCUAAUUGAAAAAGUGACUUAAUCAAGGCAGUUACUGCUAAUGCAAUCCACAUCCUAUGUGGAAAAUUUGAAAAAUCUAUUUCAAUGAAUAAUAGUGGUCAAAUGUAAAAAAUUUCAUGCCUUAAGGAUCUUUCACAGUGCAUCCUGGCUUGCCAACAGAAAACCAAUCAUCUUAUGACGACCAAACACAUUUACACAAAAUAUUUCCUGAAUGACACUGCACAGGAGUGUUCUAUUAGGGGUAUUGACUGGCUUCUCCAUUGGUACAGUUUAUGCAACAGCAAUACCAAACAUUGCUUUCACAAUUACUGAAGCAAUUUACAAAAUCAUAUAUUAUGUGGGUCACAAGAAGGCAAAAAGAGGGUGUGAUCAGCACUGCUUUGUCAUAGAAAAACAAUCAGAGAUGCGAACAAAUAGUUAUAGGGAUCCUACUACAUAAAAAUUUAUAUUAAAUAUAUCAAGCAAAAGAUUAUAUAAAAUUACUGUUUGAAAAUAAAGGUUAGACACUAACCAAUCACAAUGAUUUUACAAGUGCUUCAAAGGUAUUAUGAUAGUGUUCACAAAACUGAAAUCGGCACAUUUCUAUUUAGCAAUCUUUGAUAACUUCAAUGGGUUGUGUUAUAUCAUUAAAAAGAACUAUGUACUUUAAAGAGAAUUAAUAAACAUAAGUUGUGCUGUUUGACUUAUGAUUUUCAAAUUCAAUUCAAUUUGCAUUGUAAAUCAGCUGUUUCUAAUAACAUAGUUGUAUGAAGCGUCUAGAAACAAAGAGUAGUUUCAUUUUAAUUGAUUGCCUGUUUAUAGAUGUGAAGUUAACCAAUUUUAGAUUUGUGUUACCAAUGUUUCCUCCGCCUUAAA